rnacentral:rRNA from 1 species
UAGCUUGAUCCUGGCUCAGGAUGAACGCUGGCGGUAUGCUUAACACAUGCAAGUCGAACGGAACCAUACGUGGUUUAGUGGCGGACGGGUGAGUAACGCGUGAGAAUCUGCCCAUAGGUUGGGGACAACCACUGGAAACGGUGGCUAAUACCGAAUAAGCCGAGAGGUGAAAGAUUAAUUGCCUAAGGAAGAGCUCGCGUCUGAUUAGCUAGUUGGUGGGGUAAAGGCCUACCAAGGCACCGAUCAGUAACUGGUCUGAGAGGAUGGCCAGUCACACUGGGACUGAGACACGGCCCAGACUCCUACGGGAGGCAGCAGUGGGGAAUUUUCCGCAAUGGGCGAAAGCCUGACGGAGCAAUACCGCGUGGGGGAGGAAGGCUCUUGGGUCGUAAACCUCUUUUCUCAGGGAAGAACAAAAUGACGGUACCUGAGGAAUCAGCAUCGGCUAACUCCGUGCCAGCAGCCGCGGUAAUACGGAGGAUGCAAGCGUUAUCCGGAAUGAUUGGGCGUAAAGCGUCCGCAGGUGGCAAUACAAGUCUGCUGUCAAAGGUCAAGGCUCAACUUUGGACAGGCAGUGGAAACUGUAUAGCUAGAGUAUGGUGGGGGCAGAGGAGAUUCCCAGUGUAGCGGUGAAAUGCGUAGAGA